AUCCAUCUGACCAGUUCCGAAUAGGACGAAACGCCCGUCCUAGAU
rnacentral:hammerhead_ribozyme from 1 species